GUUGUAGCUCAGGGCUAGAGCACUUGCCUUGCAAGCGUGAGGCCCUGGGUUUAAUCCUCAGCACCACA
rnacentral:tRNA from 1 species